rnacentral:rRNA from 1 species
AUGCCAAACAUCUAUUGCAGAAACAUGCCGAUAGCUCGUUUCACCACAUUUCUCAUAUUCACCAGCUUUCUCUCCACGAUCGGCCAUCUUGGAGCGCCGGCAUUUGGCGCUCUGGAUGAUGAUCUCUUAGCUCUUGACAUUGUGUCGAAAAUCCAUACCGACAGGAGCUUGACUGUCAGAGCCUCCUCAGACUUUGGCCACAUUGUGGAGGCCACCCCAAAUGGUGUUUUUCACCCGGUCUCCCCCGCCGACAUAGCUGCUCUAAUCCGCUUUUCACUCUACCAGCAGACACCGUUCACGGUGGCGCCGCGUGGAAAAGGGCACUCCUCUAGGGGACAGGCCCUCGCCCCAGGCGGCAUUGUCGUCGACAUGCCCUCGCUGGGGCGUGGUGACCAUGGUCACCGUGUAAAUGUGUCCAUCGAUGGGAUGUACGUGGACGUCGGCGGCGAGCAGCUGUGGUUCGACGUCCUCCAUGCCACGCUCAAGCACGGGCUCACACCACGGGUGUGGACCGACUACCUCCGCAUCACCGUCGGUGGCACGCUCUCCAACGCCGGCAUAGGCGGGCAGGUGUUCCGGCACGGCCCGCAGAUCUCCAACGUGCACGAGCUUGACGUCGUCACAGGCACGGGAGACAUGAUCACCUGCUCCCCGGGCAACAACUCGGACCUGUUCUACGGGGCGUUGGGCGGGCUGGGCCAGUUCGGGGUGAUAACCAGGGCCCGGGUCGGGCUCGAACGUGCUCCGAAACGGGUCAAGUGGGUGCGCCUCGCCUACACGGACGUGCACCGGUUUACCGCUGACCAAGAGCUGCUCAUUUCAAGAGGAGCCGGGUUCGACUACGUUGAGGGGCAGGUCCAGCUGAACCGGACCCUGACGGAGGGCCGGAGGUCGUCGUCCUUCUUCUCGGCGUCGGAGCUCGCUCGUCUUACCGAGCUCGCACUGGGCACCGGAUCAGCCGCGGUGUACUACAUCGAGGGCGCGAUGUACUACGACGACAGCUCUGCUGCCACGGUGGAUCAGAAGCUCGAGGCGCUGCUGGAGGAGCUGAGCUUCGUCCCGGGGUUCGCGUUCGUCAGGGACGUGUCGUACGUGCAGUUCCUGGACCGCGUCGGGCAGGAGGAGCAGAAGCUCCGGUCGGCCGGCGCGUGGGACGUGCCGCACCCGUGGCUCAACCUCUUCGUCCCGAGGUCGCGCAUCCACGACUUCGCCGCCGGCGUGUUCGACGGCGUCCUCAGGGACACCAGGCCCGUGGGGCUCAUCCUCAUGUACCCCAUGAACAGGGACAGGUGGGACGACCGGAUGACGGUGGUGACGCCCGAUGAGGACGUGUUCUACGCCGUGGGGCUGCUCCGCUCGGCGGUGGCCGCCGGCGACCUGGAGCGGCUGGAGAGGGAGAACGAGGCGGUGCUGGAGCUGUGCGACCGGGCGGGCAUCGGGUGCAAGCAGUACCUGCCGCACCACGCAUCGCAGGACGGCUGGAGGCGGCACUUCGGGGCGAAAUGGGGCAGGGUGGCCGCGCUCAAGUCCACGUACGACCCGCGAGCGAUUCUAUCGCCGGGGCAGGGGAUCUUCCCGGCCGCGGUGGCCAGCACGACGCCCGCUGCAAUCACGGCGUUCUGA